ACUAAACAAACGAGUGACUGUGCGAUCGAAGGUUUAUUAGACAUUUCACCGAUCUUAAAGAGGUCAUCAGUAACAUCAACAAAUCAACAUGAACAACUUGAGCUUCAAGUUGACUUAAUUGAAAAACAUUACGCUCUGACGAAAAGACGGGAUCCACGACACCUUGUUUAAGUCUCCGCAAGCCCUGUUUAAGACAGAAGUGUUUAAUCUUUGAAAAACCUGCACAGACUCCGAGAGCAUCUGGAGGAACCUUAUUCAUUCAGUUACAUAUUUGGCGCCGCAGCGUGGAGCGAGAAACGUGCAAUCCUAGAGUGGAACUAAGUAAAGGACUCGAAUUAAAAGGAAAGUACGGUAUUGUUAUUCAAAUACAAGAGGUUCAUAAACACUAUUUGGCUUUCCAUUUCUAAACAAGUACUCAUCAUUUUAGGAUAGAGUUUUGUAAUAUAAUUAUGUCUGUGAGUUAUAUCGCAUUCAUUCAGUUUAUGUCAUAGCAUCUGGUCUUUUGUUACCGAGCCUACUUGCUCUUAGGCGUUUGACUGAUAAAAGUUCGCUGUGUUCAUGCUGUACGAAAAGCUGAAAUAUUGAGUGAAUCAGCUUAAAAAGUCAACUAAUUCAGUCACUUUUGUCCGACUUAGAUGAUACCAACAUAACUCCACUGAAAUAGUUGGAACAUUACAUUUUCAAUGUACAGACUAAUUUUAUUUCAAGUUGAUCAAAGAUAAAGAUUUAUCUCAUCAUUUUCUCAUUCAUGAUGUAUCAGUUUUGAAGCCUAUGGUUUGUUCCCAAGUGCUGAAUGACUGAUGUAUUACAUCUACCGCUGUAAGAAAAGUAAUAACAUUCUAUGAGGCGUUAUUGAUAAUUUAUAUUACAUUGCUCUCUUAUUGCUCUACCGCAAUAAGAACAGUAAUAACAUUCUAUGAGGCCUCGUUGAUCGUUUGUAUUGCAUUGCUCUCUUUAUCACAGACGAAAUAAACUAAUCUUUCAUUCCUAGGAGAAAAUAGAAAGCUUUGCGGAUUAUUAUUAUGUUUUCUCAUAAGAGAGGAAUUUAGGAUUUACAACCAAAAUUAGAACUUUCACAAAGCUUGA